GGCAGUGUCACCGAGAAGAAGACCCCGCUCAUCGUGUUCUGUGUCUUGAUGUGGAUCAUUACCGUCAUCCUGGUGAGCUACGGCACCCAUAUCGUUGUGACCGUCUCCCAGGUCACAUCUAUCGUACCUGAAACCAGCCAGAUUUGGCACAAGCCCCUGAGCAUUGCAGCAGGACUCAUCUUUGGACUUGUUCCCUUCACGGUAAUUUAGAUUAAAUCUUUUCACGGUAACGGUAUGUAUCGCUGUAUAAAUGUUGCGGUGUAAAACCUAUAAUGAAGUGCUUCUGAGUGGGUUUUGUAGUUGUUAAAUUCACCUGCAUUUACACUUCAUGUCACUAGAUGUGCUGUUUGCAUGUUCAACCUUAUUUUCACACAGACACCACAGAAGAAGAAGGCCCCUGAAGCCAGGCUCUCUCUGCAUGU